rnacentral:rRNA from 1 species
AUGAACGCUGGCGGCGUGCCUCAUACAUGCAAGUCGAGCGAACAGACGAGGAGCUUGCUCCUCUGACGUUAGCGGCGGACGGGUGAGUAACACGUGGAUAACCUACCUAUAAGACUGGGAUAACUUCGGGAAACCGGAGCUAAUACCGGAUAAUAUAUUGAACCGCAUGGUUCAAUAGUGAAAGACGGUUUUGCUGUCACUUAUAGAUGGAUCCGCGCCGCAUUAGCUAGUUGGUAAGGUAACGGCUUACCAAGGCAACGAUGCGUAGCCGACCUGAGAGGGUGAUCGGCCACACUGGAACUGAGACACGGUCCAGACUCCUACGGGAGGCAGCAGUAGGGAAUCUUCCGCAAUGGGCGAAAGCUUGACGGAGCAACGCCGCGUGAGUGAUGAAGGUCUUCGGAUCGUAAAACGCUGUUAUUAGGGAAGAACAAAUGUGUAAGUAACUAUGCACGUCUGGACGGUACCUAAUCAGAAAGCCACGGCUAACUACGU